rnacentral:rRNA from 1 species
GGAGAGUGCAAACGUUGUUCGGAUUCACUGGGCGUAAAGGGCGCGUAGGCGGCUCGGCAAAUCGGUCGUGGAAUCUCGACGCUUACCGUCGAAACGGCGGCCGAAAAUACCGGGCUCGAGGGCGUGAGGGGCCACUGGAACUCCUGGUGAAGCGGUGAAAUGCGUAGAUAUCAGGAGGAACGCCGGAGGCGAAAGCGAGUGACUGCCGCGUUCCUGACGCUGAGGUGCGAAAGCUAGGGGAGCAAACAGGAUUAGAUACCCUGGUAGUCCUAGCCGUAAACGAUGGACACUGAGUGAAGGAGGGCUUGCCCUUCUUUGCUGCAGCUAACGCGUUAAGUGUCCCGCCUGGGGAGUACGGCCGCAAGGUUA